GCCCGGGGCCGCCCUGCGCGGGCUGCGCGGCCCCGCGCGCCUCUCCCCGCCCGCGCCCCCGGGGGAGCGGCUGUCCUGCUGUCGCCCAGCAAGCCGAAAUGGGGCGGGCGGGGGGUUGCUACAGGGUGGCGCUGUGAGAUAGCCCCCUCCUUGCUCCUCGUACUCUGCAGAAAUGGCUCCUUGCAGCCGCCCUCCUCACCACGCCAAAAACUGUCGCAGCGCCGGCCUGACACACUGCUGCAAGCCCCUUUUGUUUCCAAAAUCAUCUUUGGACUGUGCUGAGCUCUUGCCACGCGAGUUAACAAAACUGAAAACCGAGAGAAGAAAUAGGUCUUCCUCCUCUGGCAAGCGGACAGGCAUGCUGCCCGAGACUCUGCAGAGGCAGAGUUUCAAAUCAAGGCACCUUUAUUAUAAACUCUUUCCUAGUCCAACCCUUAUUCCCCAAUCCUCCUUAGCUUCCAGUUGCCAUCUACAAUACCCAGGUCACAAGAUACUCCUUUUUGUUACCUACAGUGGGGAUAAAAAGCUGUGCUUUCACCUAUCUAUAAUAAAGCAAGUACCUUGAAGGACAGAGGUCUCUCAGCAGUUUGGAAAUUAUUCCAGCCUGAAAGCAUUCUUCUACAAACCGCUCAAGCACAGAAUAGGAGUGUGGCACAUCCAGGUUAAUAUCAGGUAUUUCACAGUAAACUCGUUCAUAGCCCUGCAGCGUAACAGUUCAAAUAAUGUCAAAUAAUGUGGUUAUUCUAUGAUUUCACUACUAUUUUUUGCAGGAUAAAUUUUCACGUAAUUUCAUGUAUACUAUAAACAGUUUCAACAAACCUAAGUCAGAGGAGCUGCAAGUUAGCAGGAAAACAAGGUAUAAUACCAGCCAAUAUCAUGGUAUUACACAACUAUCUACAGGCAUGAGAACACUAGCAGAACUUAGGACUCCCCAAAAAAGUUACAAAACCAGGCAGUACAGAACAUAUGUAUUAGCCUGGUGGCUAUCGCAUGGAAGAAAACUUACUAUUUCUGCCAGGUAAAUAAAAAAAUACAGGCCGCAAAUCUCCACCACUAUGCAGCAAGGGAAAUAUUUGUGCCAACCAGAGAUGACUUCAUCACUUCCCUUCAGCAGGAUGAUUGGGGAAAGUUUGCCACGAGUCUUAGUCUGGUACCCAGUUUGCCCCAGGAUAGCACAACUGUCCAGUGUUCAUAGCUGGAAGCAAAGUCACGAAUUACGCUAAUUUAGUAAAAUACUUGCUUCUAUAUACUGUUCUAGUUGAUAUUUCUGAUUAAACGGGUCUCAUUAUACUUCUUCAAUUAUGAAGAGCUACCGGUUAAAAAGAAAAUUUAUUAAAAUGAAGCUAUGCUGUAGUAUUUUAAAUGAUUAGUUUUUAAUCACUUAAUUGCAUAAGAUCAGUUGAAAUUCUGGAACGGAAAAUUUAAAAAUUCAGUCCCCCUUGAUUCUACAAUGAACUGCUGCUCAGAAGUGACUUGUAUUUCCUCCAGUACAUGGCAACUAUUGUUACGUACUGUACAAUUACUGCAUACAUCAGUGACAGUUUUUUUCGUACGGAAUACAGAAGGACUGGGGGCAGCGGGUAGCAGAAAGAAGAGCCUGCCAAGUUUUCAUCUUAAAGAAAAGGUAAAAACUACACAAAAUUUGGGGAGACCUUACCCAAUAUUCUCCAAAAAUAACACUUACCCUCUUCAUUUGGUCCACAGUAAUGACAGAAGACUCCCAGAGAGAUUUCAACAAAUCUAGUAUCAUUUUAAAAGUCUUUUCUCCAGUUGACUCCAAAACCAUCACCACUGCCUGAAAGAAAUUAUGCAAACCUUUUAACUACAAUGACAACAGUGGUCAAGUAUACCUUGUGUAAGCAUAUGAAGUGUAAAAAUUACUAAUAGAUGCAAUAUUGUGCAUUUAAGGGGACAAUUGUGCCCCAUUUGUUGUAAGGACUCACAACUGCAGUAUAUUAUUAUUUGAAAAGAAAAACCGAUGGAAAGUUCCUUGAAUAAGAAUACAAGAGAUGAAAAAUGAGAAAGGAGAAGACAGAGUAGAGUACACUGCCUGACUUGAGAAGCCAUAUUCAUACAACUGCUGCACUACAGAUGGAAAUUAAUUUUGUGAAUUUUUUAUUUGUGAUCUUAGAAGAAUCUGAAAGAACAAAAUCUACCAAUCUCCAUGAACUCUAACAAGCAAAAAAUCUUUUUAUUCCUAAGAAAUUUGCUAAAUGGAGUCAAUUUAUUCCAAAGACAAAGUUUAGAAUGUUUUAGAUUAUGGGUGUUCAGGUUUAAUGGUAAACAAGCACUUCUUGAUUUAGCAGGUGAGAAGAAUACAAAUAAGAACAAUCCUCCAGAUGCCACAAAGGAAGAUCUAUCUCAAAUACUCAAAGCUGUUACAAAUGUACUAGAUGAAACAAUUCCACCAUGCAAAGAAAGCUGUAUAACUUAAGAAAAAAAAAACAGAAAAGAAUUAGAAUAGCUAGAUGUCCGAAUCUGUGUUAAGUUUGCAACUAAAAGGAAAUAAAACACCAAAACAAA